AGUAGUUUUGGAGGGUAAACAGAGAUAAGAGGAAGCUGGGUAAAUCCAAUAACUCCUCCCUUAAGGGCAGGUGCAGCGAUGUGGCUCAAGGUACAGAACAGAGGAAAUGCCUUGUUGACACAGGUGAUCAGAGCAAAGUGGCCAAAAUUGAUAUAAAGAUAUUAGUAUGCCAUGUGAAGCCCUGCUUUCUCAAGGCUGCUAUUUUUCAGCCCUCCAUAACAUCUCUGUUCCUUAACCUCCAUUUAACCUGGUGACUUGUGGAAGCAUCUUCAGAGGGCUGUUGGAUACCAGAAUCUCACUUCUGGUUCAAGAAGUCUCUGAUUCAUGGACUGCUGCAGGAGAGGAUUCUGAGGAAGUAUCACAACAUGCUUACCCUGAUCCAGCCCAUCGUUCAGUGCUGGAGGAUAGUGGGAUGGAUCUGUGGUCUCACCUGGUACAGUUCUGUACACAUAAUGUGGCUUCUUUAAAACUGUCUUUAAGACCUCUUGUGAGAGCAAGACUGAUUGUUCCUAUCAAGAAAACACAUACAAUUAGGUUUAUUUUUGAUUGGAUCUUGUACAAAGACAUUACCUUCAAGAAGAAACAUUGAAAUUUUAGGUUUUUCUUGAAACCAGCAUAUAAGGAUAUGUUGUAUGUUGUGACUACGCUGCCUCCUACACAGAUGAGAUAAAAAGGAGUUGAAGUACUACUGGACCAAACUCCCAACAGAAGUCUUUGAUAUUUGUCUUUGGAUGUUGUGGAUGUGAAGAUGUUUCAGAAUGGAGUUCAUAAUCCAGGACCUCUUUUCAUGGGAGGGUGAAUACAUGAAGGCCUUCUUGGUGCGCAUCAAAUCCUGACCUGGGAUGGAAAGCAAUCUUUGUGAACAUUUGUACAGAGGGCUGUGUGAUAGAUCCAGCAAAGGCUGAAGACUGGCAAUAGUGGCUGAUGUAGUACCAUGGAGAAAAGAAAUCCGAACACUGCUCUCCAAGGAGACUGAGUGAGAAGUUAGGUAAUAUUGGGUUUCAUUGCCUAGUUCGAGUUGACAGAAGGCAAGGUGAUUUUGCUCUUCAAAUUGUGCUCAGAGGACAGGAGGCAGUGUUUUUAUUGCAGUAUAUGUGGUAGGUGGUAGGAAGGCAUUGUAUUAUGUACAAAGGUCUCUCGCAAAGCUGAUGCCUAUUUUUCCCACUGCAGAGUCGGUACACUGACUGCCUCCUUGCACAUCCAAAGCCUUGCCAUGAUUUGCUCUCCGUAUAAUUUCAUUAAACCAAUGGGAAUUGCACUGAGGUAAAAUUGGAGGAGAAAUUUUGUAUUCUGUAGCUGACAGGGGACGUCCUGAAUUUAUUCUAAAUUUAUUCUAUUGGUGUGGCUUUACUUUCAGGUAGGCAUUGUCAUGCAUAAGCCCUUUCAAGACAUCUGCUGCAAUAGCUGCAAGUGUAAAGUGUUCACUAGGAGCUUCUAUACUGCACUGCUGUGUGUGUGCAGGCUGUGCAAAGUGGGGAAUUCACCUUGCUUGUUAAACCAUAACCUUCCACAUAGGAAGCUCAAGUAGGUCACUUAGGGGAGCCAGGAAAUGCGCUGCGUGUCUGAUACGAAUCUGAUAGCCCAUCUAGUAAACGGGAGUGGCCAACAACACACAUCCCAGUUUGUCAGAUGUGCUCAUGUGUUUUCGGAGAUGUUACAGAUAGAGUAUAUAUCAGAGCUUAGAAUCUGACCUUAAAAAGUAGAUGUCUUCUAAGAUUGCAUUUGACUUCCUUGUGAUAAGAAUUAGCUUUCCAUCUUAAUCAGCAUUUGUGAUUUGAUUCAGCAAAGCAUUGAAGGUGUGCUUGAGGCAAUCUCUCUUCAGCAAAACUUUUAACUUUGAAUACAUGUUCCAGGAACAGAAAUUGAAAUUAGAGUUGGGUACAUAGGCUUCACAAAAUUGGGUUUCAACUUUGGGGAAAACAGUCAUGAUCACUUAGUUUCUAGUGCAAACAUUUCUCCACUUUUGCUGAGGAGGGACUGGCACAGGAGUCACUGGAAACCAAGAUUAAUUGUGUGCAGGAGAUUUACGCCAUUGGUGAAAUAACAGCUAAGCAUGUGAGCAGGCAUAAGUUAAGUGAAAAACUAUCUAUUUAAGCAUUUGGAUCUAUACAAAGAAAAAUUUUGAAAGAUUGACAUUUCAGUGUCAAAAUUCAAGUGAAAAUUUGUGAUUCAGAAAAUGUUUGCAGUAGUCUGUAACCCUCUGUUCAUUUUAUGCCUAUAUGCCUGCAGACAGACAUUCUCUUCCUUAUUCAUGUUUCCAAUUUUCUGUUUUUGUAAAACUAUAAAAUAAACAAAUGCACACAGAUUUUGUGAUGUGCUCCACCAUUCCUCUAGUAUUGCACUGUAGGAUACAACAAAGACAUAAUGAGUGAGAAUAAAGGAAUCAGGGAUAUCAAAGAAAAGACAUUCCUUUAUUCCUCAUCAGGCAAAGAGAAAAGAUAGCAGAAUCAAAGCUGUGAAGGCUUCCCUGUUAGUAGACCCUAACACAGGUAAGAAAUACCAUUUUCAGCUGAGUUGUUACUGGAGUUCUGCAAAGUCUGCUCCAUGAACAGGCUUGCAAUCUGAACAUGGGACUUCUUUUACUUUUAUGUGCUAUUGACAGCAACAGUAUCUCUCUUCCUUCCCUACCAUCUGCAAGCCAGAAAUAUCACCAUCUCCCAGCCACUGCAAACUGAAGAACCCAAUUGUCCUUAUCUACUCUCCAAAAUGUGCACUGUGAGGAAUGUCCUGCAAAUGUUUAUUGUAAGAGAGCUCCGCGUUCAUUUGCCCGUUACGCAGCAUUUUGUGGGAUGAGAAAGAAACAAGCCAAAAGAAACCAGCAGAAGAAAUAGUUAUCAUGUUGGAGAACCGCAGAUGGGGAAAACAAAUGCAUCUUUCUUUAUGAAAACACCCAGAUGCAAACUUGCUGGAGUACAACUACAGGAGCUGUAUGUAUGUGUGUAGAGGACAAAGUUUUCCUCUCGUAUUCUACUGCUGCUGGUUCUUCUAUUUCAACACUGACCUGAGGAGAAGCUCCAAGGGAUGAAAGGGUUAUUAUGCGACCAGACACCUUGGGUCACCUGGGGUAAAUUACCAUUGCCUCUUAGUUAAGUCCUCGUGUUCUGGUGAAAUCAGUGGAGCCUGUUUUCACUGGUGCAGUAUCUGAGACAUCAAGUUUAAUGAAUCGUUACAAAUGAUUUAAUCUGCACUUGCAGGUGCUAUUAAAACUUUUUUUUUCUUUUCUGCCAAGACCUUUUUUUUUUUUUUUUUUUACCUAGGAAAAGCAAUCUUUCUCAGUCGCAAUGGUUUAAAUAGGGAGUAACAGGAUAGGUUUUGCUCAUUAGAAAGCCUGAUGCUGGCUUCAGUAUUCCCUUCUGCUAAAAUUACCUCCUCCAGCAUUUAAGACUUUAAGUUGCAGGGGAUAAAACAUAAGGCCCUGGUUAAUUGCAAAUAAAUAG